AAANUGGGAUUAGAUACCCCACUAUANGGAACAAAAAUAAUNNUNGAAGCACUAAAGCCCUCAGGNUAAAANUUAAUGGGCAUGGCGGCAGACCNGACUUCUCAGGGGAAUUUACCUGGUAAUUGAUAGCCCACAUGGUGCCCCUCACAACCUACAUCGUUUGUAUACCGCCNUCUACAGGUACCGUCUAAGACUGUGCCGACUUUCCACCGGAAGAAAGACAGGUCAUGGCGCAGCCUAUGGUUGUGUGCAAGGUGAGUUACAAUCACUAAUUGUGUCGAAUGUGGGAGUCAAACAAUCCCACGGAAGUANGACUUGAAAGUAAAGCAUCAGGGAANUAUAUCUUGAAUAGUCCACUGAUCUGUGCACACNCCNCCCNUCA
rnacentral:rRNA from 1 species